UACAGAGGGGGCAAGCGUUGUUCGGAAUUACUGGGCGUAAAGGGCGCGUAGGCGGCCUGCUAAGUCGAACGUGAAAUCCCCGGGCUCAACCCGGGAACUGCGUCCGAUACUGGCAGGCUUGAAUCCGGGAGAGGGAUGUGGAAUUCCAGGUGUAGCGGUGAAAUGCGUAGAUAUCUGGAGGAACACCGGUGGCGAAGGCGGCAUCCUGGACCGGCAUUGACGCUGAGGCGCGAAAGCGUGGGGAGCAAACAGG
rnacentral:rRNA from 1 species